GGCUCCAGCAUCCUUCACAUCACUCCGUCUGUGGUGUCCCUAAAUUCCACGCCUACAUCCCCUAUAAGCCCAUUCCUAGGAUUCUCUGAGUUCACAGAAAGAGUACAAACGAAAAACGCAACACAACAACGCGUAAAGUCCAGUCGUUACCCUUCAAUUCCACUGGAUACAAGGACAGAGACACCAACAAAUGAUGAAAUGAAUCCUUCUUCAGAUGUUGUUCCAAAGAGCGGCUUGGGCUGUACACAUCUCUGGCUACAAAGUCGAGUUCCCUUGGGAUGUGUUCCUUCGAAGUCUACAGCAAACAAUCAAGCUAGAGUUACUUCCUUGAACUGACGGCAUAAUCACUUUGGAUACUCUCCAAAUCCACGUCAAGGAGAAAGGUCGGAGGUACAUUCCAGAGCAGUCACUCAAGAUAAACGCUACGUCAAGCAUUUCCUCUGGGAUUUU